GACGAACGCUGGCGGCGUGCCUAAUACAUGCAAGUAGAACGCUGAAGGAGGAGCUUGCUUCUCUGGAUGAGUUGCGAACGGGUGAGUAACGCGUAGGUAACCUGCCUGGUAGCGGGGGAUAACUAUUGGAAACGAUAGCUAAUACCGCAUAAUAGUAGAUGUUGCAUGACAUUUACUUAAAAGGUGCAAUUGCAUCACUACCAGAUGGACCUGCGUUGUAUUAGCUAGUUGGUGGGGUAACGGCUCACCAAGGCGACGAUACAUAGCCGACCUGAGAGGGUGAUCGGCCGCACUGGGACUGAGACACGGCCCAGACUCCUACGGGAGGCAGCAGUAGGGAAUCUUCGGCAAUGGACGGAAGUCUGACCGAGCAACGCCGCGUGAGUGAAGAAGGUUUUCGGAUCGUAAAGCUCUGUUGUAAGAGAAGAACGAGUGUGAGAGUGGAAAGUUCACACUGUGACGGUAUCUUACCAGAAAGGGACGGCUAACUACGUGC
rnacentral:rRNA from 1 species